ensembl:snoRNA
GUUGAGGUCUAUCCCAAUGGGGCUCUGCUGUGGACUCUUGUCUUUGGAAAUGCCUCAGUGUAAUUGUGUGGUUUGCUUUGCUCAUAGAGCUACUGGUUAGAUCUGUGAGAAAGAACUACAAGACAGCU